CAGCAGGAUGCCCAGGAGUCAUUUAGCGCAGAGACCCAGGCCCAAGUCCUGCCUCUGCCUCAUCCACAGGCUCCCCGUGUGACCUGGUGACAUACAGAGCCACCCAGUCUUUACCAUCAUCACUGUUUGGCUGUCUGACCCACCUAAUGUACAUCACCUGUGUCCUUUUGUCAAACACCGGGACUGCUUCCGCUUGCGUCCUCACUCCAGACACUGCAGCUGCGGACAUCCCUGGAAAUGUGUCUUGAGAUUUCUGCAAGGGCCAGAUAUGCAAGGCAGCUCCCGAAUGCUGAAGGAGCAGAGAAACCAAAGAACAAGGCAGACAAAUCCAGUUUGCUGGUACAGGGUGAUUUAUUUGGGUGACCUUACAGACAAGCUUGGUCUUGGGCAGCCACGAGACAAACAGAUCUCCGUGCCUGUCAUCCUAGAGCCAAGGCUUAUGUACCAUAGGGAAAGGGUAUGAGUGUUCUGUGCAAGACAAUUAAAGGCAGCCCUCCAGAACAGGCAAGAAUCUGCAUACGUUAUAGCCUAUAAUUGGUGUGAUAACAUCAAGGUGGACAUAGUC